rnacentral:rRNA from 1 species
CGCGUAGGCGGCUUUGUAAGUCGGAUGUGAAAGCCCCGGGCUUAACCUGGGAAUUGCAUUCGAUACUGCAUAACUAGAGUAUGGUAGAGGGAAGUGGAAUUUCCGGUGUAGCGGUGAAAUGCGUAGAUAUCGGAAGGAACACCAGUGGCGAAGGCGACUUCCUGGGCCAAUACUGACGCUGAGGUGCGAAAGCGUGGGGAGCAAACA